rnacentral:tRNA from 1 species
GGUUUAAUAGUUUAAUAAAAACAUUGGUCUUGUAAAUCAAGGAUAAGAUAUACUUUUAAGCCU